GAUGAACGCUAGCGACAGGCCUAACACAUGCAAGUCGAGGGGCAGCACAUGAGUAGCAAUACGAUGGUGGCGACCGGCGCACGGGUGAGUAACACGUAUGCAACCUGCCUUCUACUAUGGGAUAACCCGUUGAAAGACGGACUAAUACCGUAUAAUACAGGGGCUCCGCAUGGAGAUAUUUGUUAAAGAUUUAUUGGUAGAAGAUGGGCAUGCGUAUGAUUAGAUAGUUGGUGAGGUAACGGCUCACCAAGUCAACGAUCAUUAGGGGUUCUGAGAGGAAGGUCCCCCACACUGGUACUGAGACACGGACCAGACUCCUACGGGAGCAGCAGUGAGGAAUAUUGGUCAAUGGACGAGAGUCUGAACCAGCCAAGUCGCGUGAAGGAAGACGGUUCUAUGAAUUGUAAACUUCUUUUGUGCAGGAAUAAAGUGGGUUACGUGUAACCUUUUGUAUGUACUGUACGAAUAAGGAUCGGCUAACUCCGUGCCAGC
rnacentral:rRNA from 1 species